rnacentral:misc_RNA from 1 species
AAGUCGUAACAAGGUUUCCGUAGGUGAACCUGCGGAAGGAUCAUUAACACUUUUAAUAAUCUAUAACAACAUAACAACGUGACACUUUAUUUAUCCCUUGCAUCAUUAGCUAGAGAUAGCUGGGCAAGGCUAACCAACCUUUAUUAUUUUUUACACCCCAAUUUUAUUUAUUUCUAUAUCAAUUUAAUUUAUUUUAAUAUUGAUAGGGAUAUAAUAAUAAUAAACACUUUUUGUUUUGGCUAACGCUUUAACAAACUAACUUAAAUAUAUUCUCAAUCGUAACAACGAUUGUGUAUAUUUUAAAUUAUCAAAUAUCUAUAAGAUUAUAAACAACUCUUAGCAAUGGAUAUCUUGGUUCUC